rnacentral:rRNA from 1 species
UACGGAAGGCAGCAGUGGGGAAUAUUGCACAAUGGGCGCAAGCCUGAUGCAGCCAUGCCGCGUGUAUGAAGAAGGCCUUCGGGUUGUAAAGUACUUUCAGUCGUGAGGAAGGUGUUAAGGUUAAUAACCUUAGCAAUUGACGUUAGCGACAGAAGAAGCACCGGCUAACUCCGUGCCAGCAGCCGCGGUAAUACGGAGGGUGCGAGCGUUAAUCGGAAUUACUGGGCGUAAAGGGCACGCAGGCGGUUAAUUAAGUUGGAUGUGAAAUCCCCGGGCUUAACCUGGGAAUGGCAUUCAAGACUGGUUAGCUAGAGUCUUGUAGAGGGGGUAGAAUUCCAUGUGUAGCGGUGAAAUGCGUAGAAAUGUGGAGGAAUACCGGUGGCGAAGGCGGCCCCUGGACAAAGACUGACGCUCAUGUGCGAAAGCGUGGGGAGCAAACAGGGAUUAGAUACC